rnacentral:SRP_RNA from 1 species
ACUGGGUGUGGUGGCGAGUGCCUGUUGUCCCAGCUACUCGGGAGGCGGAGGUGGGAGGAUCACUUGAGCCCAGGAGUUCUGGACUGUAGUGUGCCAUGCUGAUCAGGUAUUUGCAAUAUUCUGGGCAUCAAACGGUGACCUCCUGGGAGCAUGGACUACCAGGGUGCCUAAGGAGGGGUGAAUUGGCUCAGGUCAGACAUGGAACAGGUGAAAACUCCCCCACUAAUCAGUAGAGGGAUCACGCCUGUGCAUAGUCACUGCAUACCAGCCUAGGCAGCAUAGCAAGACCCCAUCUCU